rnacentral:tRNA from 1 species
GGUCGAUUAGCUCAGUCGGAAGAGCGUUCGGUUUACAUCCGAAAGGCCGCAGGUUCGAGCCCUGCAUCGACCACAA